rnacentral:lncRNA from 1 species
UAAAGUUCUAAAAUAAACUUAAAGAAAUACAAUAAUACCUUAAGUAUUCACAAGGAUGAUUCAGCUAUACAAUGAUUUUUUGGAUUGAGAAUUUUUCUGAGAAAUGUUUCAAAAGGUUUUUGGAUAGCAGAGAGUACACAGGUUGUAAACUUCUGCCUAAACCAAAUGAAACUUGUUCUUUAAAUAGAAAAAUUCUUGGGAGCAAAAAGUCUAAAAUAUCCUUGAAAAGAGCACACGUUUCACCGAAAAACUUCUGGCUAAUUCAGGAUAAGUCUAACAAGUGGAAAGAAAAUUUCCUACUUUUACAAAAGUCUAAAAGUCUAUAGUUUAGGAAUCUUGAAAUUUUCACUAAUUUGCUUAAAAUUCUAAAAGUUUCUGACAUCUUUUUUGAAAAUAAUCAAAAGAUCUAUAGUAUUGUGAUAAGAAUCUUCAGCUUUUCCUUCUUUUCUUCCAUCACUUUUGUCUUGUUCUGCAUUAUUGAGGAUCUGAUUAUGUACUGAGAUUAUGACGUGCCACUGAUGAAAAUGACAUUCCACUAUUUGAAUUAUUGUAUCCUUCUUCAUGUGGAUCUUCGUCUUCAUCUGAAAGUCUGGAGUUACUGGCUUCAUCUUUUUCUUUCUGAUCUGGACAUUCUGCAAUUUCUUUUUCUUCUUCAUGGCUCUUUUUUAANNNNNNAUUGUCUCGAAUGCUUGGUUAACUGCUUCUCUUAUUUGUUCUUUUAGUCCUUCAUCAUUUUUCUUCUUCUUAAUCUUUUUCUUUUUUCUAGAAGAAGUCUCUUCAUCUUUUUUAGAUUGUUUUUGGAGUUCUUCAAUUUUCUCAAAGAUCUUUUCUAAAAAAGCGGUAUCUGGAUUAGGAUCUUGUGAUUCUUGAAAAAAUAAACAUUCUUGACUAUCUUGGACUACCAUUUUUUCUUUUCCC